AGGUGGUGCUUUGUAAAUUUCACUCCGUGUUUCUGUCUCAGAAAGGGCAGGUUUAUACCUGUGGUCAUGGUCCUGGAGGGCGAUUAGGACAUGGAGAUGAACAGACAUGCUUGGUCCCUCGGCUUGUGGAAGGACUGAAUGGUCAUAAUUGUUCCCAAGUGGCAGCUGCUAAGGAUCAUACUGUUGUAUUAACUGAAGAUGGAUGUGUUUAUACAUUUGGUCUAAACAUUUUUCAUCAAUUAGGAAUUAUUCCACCGCCUUCCAGUUG
rnacentral:lncRNA from 1 species